rnacentral:rRNA from 1 species
CCCUUAGAUGUUCUGGGCUGCACGCGCGCUACACUGAAGCUAUCAACACGUUUUCCCUCCCUGAGAAGGGCGGGUAACCUUUUGAAUCAGCUUCGUGGUAGGGAUCGGGGCUUGCAAUUGUUCCCCGUGAACCAGGAAUUCCUAGUAGACGCGAGUCAUAAGCUCGCAUCGAUUAAGUCCCUGCCCUUUGUACACACCGCCCGUCGCUACUACCGGUUGAACGUUUUAGUGAGGCAUUUGGACCGACGCAUCUCAGUUUAACCGCUGGUUUGUGUUGGAAAGACUUCCAAACUUGAGCGUUUAGAGGAAGUAAAAGUCGUAACA